UGAGUUAGCAACAAAACCCACUACAAACUGGUGUCAAGGAGUUUUUAAAGAGUUUGUGUCAUCAGUUUACUGAACUCUAGAAUAGCAUUUCCCUCUGAGGAAAAAAGAUUUUGAAUACUGGGAGGCAAAAAUCUUAUCCCAGGAUAGAAAGGGAAAAUCCAGUUAUUUCAUCUUCUCUGAACAGCUGCUGUAAAGAACAAGGCACUCCAUGUCCAGAAAAACAUGUGUUUUCUGAAGCUGAUCUUCAAGCAACACUAUUGAAAUACAGAUUCACAUCUUAACACACCAACAA